rnacentral:rRNA from 1 species
UACGAAGGGGGCUAGCGUUGCUCGGAAUCACUGGGCGUAAAGCGCACGUAGGCGGAUUGCUAAGUCAGGGGUGAAAUCCUGGAGCUCAACUCCAGAACUGCCUUUGAUACUGGCGGUCUCGAGUCCGGGAGAGGUGAGUGGAACUGCGAGUGUAGAGGUGAAAUUCGUAGAUAUUCGCAAGAACACCAGUGGCGAAGGCGGCUCACUGGCCCGGUACUGACGCUGAGGCGCGAAAGCGUGGGGAGCAAACAGG